GAGUUUGAUCCUGGUUCAGAACGAACGCUGGCGGCGUGCCUAACACAUGCAAGUCGAACGGGGAUAGAUAGCUUGCUAUUUAUUCUAGUGGCGCACGGGUGAGUAACGCGUAGAUAAUCUGCCUUGGACUCUGGGAUAACAUUUCGAAAGGGGUGCUAAUACCGGAUAAGCCCACGGGGACGUAAGUUCUUGCGGGAAAAGGGGGCCUCUGCAUAUGCUCUUGAUCCAAGAUGAGUCUGCGUACCAUUAGCUAGUUGGUAGGGUAAGAGCCUACCAAGGCGACGAUGGUUAGCUGGUCUGAGAGGAUGAUCAGCCACACUGGAACUGAGACACGGUCCAGACUCCUACGGGAGGCAGCAGUGGGGAAUUUUGCGCAAUGGGGGAAACCCCGACGCAGCAACGCCGCGUGAGUGAUGAAGGCUUUCGGGUCGUAAAGCUCUGUCUAGAGGGAAGAAAUGAUAUUGGGUUAAUACCCUGAUUUCUUGACGGUACCUCUGAAGGAAGCACCGGCUAACUCCGUGCCAGCAGCCGCGGUAAUACGGAGGGUGCAAGCGUUGUUCGGAAUUAUUGGGCGUAAAGCGCGUGUAGGCGGUUUGUUAAGUCUGAUGUGAAAGCCCCGGGCUCAACCUGGGAAGUGCAUUGGAAACUGUCAGACUUGAAUACGGGAGAGGGUAGUGGAAUUCCUAGUGUAGGAGUGAAAUCCGUAGAUAUUAGGAGGAACACCGGUGGCGAAGCGGCUACCUGGACCGAUAUUGACGCUGAGACGCGAAAGCGUG
rnacentral:rRNA from 1 species